CGCGUAGGCGGUCGGGCAAGUCCGGGGUGAAAUCCUGCAGCUUAACUGUAGAAGUGCCUUGGAUACUGCUCGGCUCGAGGGAGGUAGGGGUCUGUGGAACUUCUGGUGGAGCGGUGAAAUGCGUUGAUAUCAGAAGGAACGCCGGUGGCGAAAGCGGCAGACUGGACCUCUUCUAACGCUGAGGCGCGAAAGCUAGGGGAGCAAACGGGAUUAGAUACCCCGGUAGUCCUAGCCCUAAACGUUGAGCACUAGAUUGCAGACUAGUCAUGGGUUUGCAGUCGAAGCAAAAGUGUUAAGUGCUCCGCCUGGGGAGUAUGGUCGCAAGGCUGAA
rnacentral:rRNA from 1 species